rnacentral:rRNA from 1 species
GACGAACGCUGGCGGCGUGCCUAAUACAUGCAAGUCGAGCGAAGUUUUUCUGGUGCUUGCACUAGAAAAACUUAGCGGCGAACGGGUGAGUAACACGUAAAGAACCUGCCUCAUAGACGGGGACAACUAUUGGAAACGAUAGCUAAUACCGGAUAACAGCAUAAAUCGCAUGAUAUAUGUUUGAAAGUUGGUUUCGGCUAACACUAUGAGAUGGCUUUGCGGUGCAUUAGCUAGUUGGUGGGGUAAAGGCCUACCAAGGCGACGAUGCAUAGCCGACCUGAGAGGGUGAUCGGCCACACUGGGACUGAGACACGGCCCAGACUCCUACGGGAGGCAGCAGUAGGGAAUCUUCCGCAAUGGGCGAAAGCCUGACGGAGCAACGCCGCGUGAGUGAAGAAGGAUUUCGGUUCGUAAAGCUCUGUUGUUAGGGAAGAAUGAUUGUAUAGUAACUAUAUACAGUAGAGACGGUACCUAACCAGAAAGCCACGGCUAACUACGUGCCAGCAGCCGCGGUAAUACGUAGGUGGCAAGCGUUGUCCGGAAUUAUUGGGCGUAAAGCGCGCGCAGGUGGUUUAAUAAGUCUGAUGUGAAAGCCCACGGCUCAACCGUGGAGGGUCAUUGGAAACUGUUAAACUUGAGUGCAGGAGAGAANAGUGGAAUUCCUAGUGUAGCGGUGAAAUGCGUAGAGAUUAGGAGGAACACCAGUGGCGAAGGCGGCUUUUUGGCCUGUNACUGACACUGAAGCCCGAANCNUGGGGAGCAAANAGG